rnacentral:rRNA from 1 species
GAUGAACGCUGGCGGCGUGCUUAACACAUGCAAGUCGAACGAAGCACUAUGUUUGAUUUCCUUUGGGAAUGUUUAUUUUGUGAGGGAGUGGCGGACGGAUGAGUAACGCGUGGGUAACGUGGCUUGUACAGGGGGACAACAGUUGGAAACGGAUGCUAAUACCGCAUAAGCGCACAGCAUCGCAUGAUGCAGUGUGAAAAACUCCGGUGGUAUAAGAGGGAGCCGCGUUGGAUUAGCUAGUUGGUGAGGUAACGGCCCACCAAGGCGACGAUCCAUAGCCGACAUGGGAGGGUGACCGGCCACAUUGGGACUGAGACACGGCCCAAACUCCUACGAGAGGCAGCAGUGGGGAAUAUUGCACAAUGGGCGAAAGCCUGAUGCCGCGACGCCGCGUGAGCGAAGAAGUAUUUCGGUAUGUAAAUCUCUAUCAGCAGGGAAGAUAAUGACGGUACCUGACUAAGAAGCAACGGCUAAAUACGUG